AAAUCGGUCCUUUUUAGGACCACAAUAUUUCUAUAAACGUAAUA
rfam:Trichomalopsis sarcophagae strain Alberta scaffold20604, whole genome shotgun sequence.